rnacentral:rRNA from 1 species
GACGAACGCUGGCGGCGUGCCUAAUACAUGCAAGUUGAGCGAUGAAGAUUGGUGCUUGCACCAAUUUGAAGAGCAGCGAACGGGUGAGUAACGCGUGGGGAAUCUGCCUUUGAGCGGGGGACAACAUUUGGAAACGAAUGCUAAUACCGCAUAAUAACUUUAAACAUAAGUUUUAAGUUUGAAAGAUGCAAUUGCAUCACUCAAAGAUGAUCCCGCGUUGUAUUAGCUAGUUGGUGAGGUAAAGGCUCACCAAGGCGAUGGUACAUAGCCGACCUGAGAGGGUGAUCGGCCACAUUGGGACUGAGACACGGCCUAAUCUCCUACGGGAGGCAGCCGUAGGGAAUCUUCGGCAAUGGACGAAAGUCUGACCGAGCAACGCCGCGUGAGUGAAGAAGGUUUUCGGAUCGUAAAACUCUGUUGGUAGAGAAGAACGUUGGUGAGAGUGGAAAGCUCAUCAAGUGACGGUAACUACCCAGAAAGGGACGGCUAACUACGUG